GUGGAGUUUGAGUAGGAGGUUGUGUCCGCACCCAACGCUGUCUGUGGUGUUGGCCUUCGCAAGAUGCUUCUGCUGCCGUGUAGUCCCGAGUGCUGUCUUUUGGUAGUCGCUUGGUUAGGCGCUAUUAUUUAUUUGCUUCCUAUCGCGGCGUGGCUUUCACGCCCACUCCCUCAGGAGUUGUACGGUAACUGAAUUAUCUGUCGAAUAAAUGUGUUAUCAGCCUCCUGGGAUUGAUAUUUGCAUCACAUUUAGUCUCCGCUAAUGUGGGGAUGCUUCUAGGUCGUGGCCACAUCUAGACGUAACUAGGCUCUGGUCUAGACAGAAAUAAACUUGAGUAGAGUUCUCUCCGAUGAAGCAGAUGUAGGUUCAGAAAAUUGGAGGGGACUAUAGAGAAAAGAAAUGAGAUUCACACUUGUGGAGCUCGAAGAUGUAGUGGCGCAUGGUUGGACGGGGCAGCCGAUGCUUGCGUGACAUCCUCGCUCAACUGCUCAGUUGCGCCAACAUGGGUGCAGCCGCUGCAAGGAUGCUGAGAUGUUCC
rnacentral:lncRNA from 1 species